rnacentral:rRNA from 1 species
GAUGAACGCUGGCGGCGUGCCUAACACAUGCAAGUCGAGCGAACAGACGAGGAGCUUGCUCCUCUGACGUUAGCGGCGGACGGGUGUGUAACACGUGGAAAACCUACCUAUAAGACUGGGAAAACUUCGGGAAACCGGAGCUAAUACCGGAUGAUAUCUUGAUCCGUAUGGUUCAAUAGUGAAAGACGGCUUUGCUGUCACUUAUAGCUGCAUUCGCGCCGCAUUAGCUAGUUGGUAAGGUAACGGCUUACCAAGGCAACUAUGCGUAACCGACCUCAGAGGGGGGUCGCCCACACGGGCAGUGAACCACGGUCCAGACUCCUGCGGUAGGGAGCAGUAGAGAAUCGGCCGCAAUGGGGGAGAACCUGACGGAGUAACGCGGCGUGAGAGAUGAAGAUCUGGAGUUCGGAAAGCUCUGUUAUUAGGUAAGAACAAAUGUGUAAGUAGCAGAGCACUUAUUGACGGUACCUGGUCAAAAAGCCACGGCUAACUACGUG